rnacentral:rRNA from 1 species
UACGGGGGGGGGCAAGCGUUGUUCGGAAUUACUGGGCGUAAAGGGCUCGUAGGUGGCCAACUAAGUCAGACGUGAAAUCCCUCGGCUUAACCGGGGAACUGCGUCUGAUACUGGAUGGCUUGAGUUUGGGAGAGGGACGCGGAAUUCCAGGUGUAGCGGUGAAAUGCGUAGAUAUCUGGAGGAACACCGGUGGCGAAGGCGGCGUCCUGGACCAACACUGACACUGAGGAGCGAAAGCCAGGGGAGCAAACAGG